AUUAUACUCCCUCCGUCCCAAAAUUCUUCUCUUAGAUUUUUCUAGAUACAUAUGUAUCAAGUCACGUUUUAGUGUUAGAUACAUCUGUAUCUAGAUAAAUCAAAGACAAGUAUUUUGGGACGGGAGGGAAUAGAUU
rfam:Triticum urartu cultivar G1812 contig528153, whole genome shotgun sequence.